UUCCUCGCUAAUGUUCGGAUUUGUUUACCAAUGAUGCAAGUAAUUUAGUCAGAGUAACAAAGUAACGACUAGUUGUUUAAGUUAAAAGGUAGAUUUAAUAUUCCGGAUAUGAGCGAGGAAUGUCGGCGAGCGGCGGACGGCUGAGUAGCGCGUAGGAACAUACCCCAAAGUGAGGCAUAACCGCCCGAAAGGGUGGCUAAUACCGCAUAUUGUCUUCGGAUGAAAGCUUUUAGCGCUUUGGGAAUGGCCUGCGUUUGAUUAGCUAGUUGGUGAGGUAAGGGCUUACCAAGGCGAUGAUCAAUAGCUGGUUUGAGAGAAUGAUCAGCCAGACUGGAACUGAGACACGGUCCAGACUCCUACGGGAGGCAGCAGUUGGGAAUUUUCCACAAUGGGCGAAAGCCUGAUGGAGCAACGCCGCGUGCAGGAAGAAUGCCUUCGGGUUGUAAACUGCUUUUAUGUGCGAAGAAUAUGACGGUAGCAUAUGAAUAAGGGUCGGCUAACUACGUG
rnacentral:rRNA from 1 species